UGCCAGCCGCCGCGGUAAGACGGAGGGUGCAAACGUUGUUCGGAAUCACUGGGCAUAAAGCGCACGUAGGCGGUCCGCUAAGUCAGAUGUGAAAUCCCUCGGCUCAACCGAGGAACUGCACCUGAUACUGACGGACUCGAGGACGGUAGGGGUGAGUGGAACUCCAGGUGGAGCGGUGAAAUGCGUAGAUAUCUGGAGGAACACCGGUGGCGAAGGCGGCUAACUGGCUCGGUACUGACGCUGAGAUGCGAAAGCGUGGGGAGCAAACAGGAUUAGAUA
rnacentral:rRNA from 1 species